AUUUGUCUUUGACUGGAAUCAAACAAUAUCAGAUGGUGUAGGAUGAUGAUCUCUGCAUCCACCAGUCGGCAAGCUGUUUUGUUUAAAACAUCACAACAAGCAGUGCCUCCUUUCCUGAAAGAAGACUCAUUUGGGAAAGGGCCAGCUGCAUCCCCAGAGUUUGUACUGACAGAAGAAUCCCUAAGGAAUUGGUGAAAGCCUCCCUGAUCUGGCAUCUGUGACAACAUGAAGUGCAUACAUCUGACUGGGAGAAAGGAGUGAAAAGCAGGCUUUCCUUUCUAUCAGGCCUGGUUGUGUCAAACCAAACCCUAAGGUUGGUGUUCUCUGGACUCACGUUACAACU